rnacentral:rRNA from 1 species
UACGUAGGGUGCAAGCGUUAAUCGGAAUUACUGGGCGUAAAGCGUGCGCAGGCGGCUUUGCAAGACAGAUGUGAAAUCCCCGGGCUUAACCUGGGAACUGCAUUUGUGACUGCAUGGCUGGAGUGCGGCAGAGGGGGAUGGAAUUCCGCGUGUAGCAGUGAAAUGCGUAGAUAUGCGGAGGAACACCGAUGGCGAAGGCAAUCCCCUGGGCCUGCACUGACGCUCAUACACGAAAGCGUGGGGAGCAAACAGG